CUGUUUCUGAUGGAGGGAAAAGUUGUUUUUGUGGAGCGAAUUUGAAAAGAGGGAUGGGUUGCGCCUUUCCCCAAAGGUGGGGGAAUGACUAUUCAGAUUACUCUUGUCUUUCUCUGGCUCCUCACCAGGUGGUGUUGGAAACAAAGAGCAGCUCAGGUUCACUUCUCUUGGCAGUAAGUGCUGAAGCCCAACGUUCCAUGUCACCAGAGAACCUUGCUGUUCUCAACCUCUUUUCACCUUAAAAAGAUGAAAGCCAAAAAUAACGAGAGGAGGCCCUUCUCUGCCUUUCAUUUUUUUAGUGCACCUCGGAGUGUCUUGAGAAUCACUUUCACUUGACUGACAGUCCUAAACCUCUUACAGCAGCCAAACUUUCUCUACCUAACCUCACAUGGUUUGGCCACACUCUUGACGCUCUUCAGACUGCACUGCUCCAUCCUGUCCCUUGCACCAGGCCCUUCCCACUCCUAUGUCCCCUCCACAGUAUGUUCUUUGUACACAAUCACACAACACCAGCAAUCAAGAUUAGCUCCCAGGAACCUCCUCUGAUGUGCCCUGUACCAGGAAGCACAGUGGAUUUACUGUAACUUUGAUGAUUGCUUGCUUGCUUUGUACCAGGCACUGUUUCUAAUGUUGUUUUAUGUGUUUUGUAUUUAAUCUUUAAAUCCUCCAACAGCCCCAUGAGAAAAUUAAGGCAGAGAAGUUCAGUGAUUUGCUGGAGGAAGCAAGGAAGUAGAGCAAGAAUUCAAAUCUAGGUGUUCUGGCUCUUAGCCACUCAGUUCUGCGGAAAAGUCCAGUGCAAAAGUCCAAGCGUCUGCUUACUUGUUUCAUCUUGUGAUCACAAGGACAAGAGAGCCAUGAAAGUAUCCAUUGUAUUGGCUCCAUCAUUGGCAAAGGAGAAAAAUUCAGCUCCGCACUAUGUACAUCUUUCCCACGAAGGAUGACCAAGUUAGCAAUGGAAGUGUUAAAAUGAGACUCCUUGUUGAGAGACAUUUUACCACGCGUAGGAAGUCCUGAUAAAGGAGGCCGUACCUGCCAAUCAAUACCUACCAAAAGAAAAAAAAGAGCAAGAGAUUUUACAAGUCGCCUUGAGCAAGAAGAGAAAGAUGUAUUAUAGUAUGUAUAUUUUAUAUAAAUUUCCAUUUGAUAAGUAAAAGUUGUGGCAGGGUGGGGUUCUUCUAAAAAUUUAAACAUUCUUAUCUGGUUGACCUAAAGUGAUUCAAACUACUCAGUCCUGAGAAAGGCAUGAAAUAGUCUUCAUCGAAUAUUAAAGGAUGGUGGUAGAUGCAAAGGAUGCAAUUCUACAACGCAGUAAAAAGAAAGUAACUUCUGACACACGUAACAAUGUGGAUCAAUAUCAGAAGCCUGAUGCUAAGUGAAGCAAGCCUGACUGAAAAGAUUACAUCCUGUUUGAUUCCAUUUACAGGACGUUCUGGAAAAGGCAAAACCAUAGGAAUAAAGUUCAGAUCAAUAGUUGCUUGGGGCUUGGAGUGGAGGAAAGACGCUGUCUACAAAGGGGUGUGAGGGAACUUUUUGGAAAAUGGAAACACUCUGUCUCAAU